rnacentral:rRNA from 1 species
UGAGGAAUAUUGGUCAAUGGGGGCAACCCUGAACCAGCCAAGUCGCGUGAAGGAUGAAGGUCUUAUGGAUUGUAAACUUCUUUUAUACAGGAAUAAAUUGGGGGACGUGUCCCCUUUUGCAUGUACUGUAUGAAUAAGGAUCGGCUAACUCCGUGCCAGCAGCCGCGGUAAUACGGAGGAACCGAGCGUUAUCCGGAUUUAUUGGGUUUAAAGGGUGCGCAGGCGGGAUGUUAAGUCGGCGGUGAAAUUUUGCAGCUCAACUGUAAAAGUGCCUUCGAUACUGGCUUCCUUGAGUGUAGAUGAAGUAGGCGGAAUUUGUGGUGUAGCGGUGAAAUGCUUAGAUAUCACGAGGAACUCCGAUUGCGCAGGCAGCUUACUAAACUACAACUGACGCUCAUGCACGAAGGCGUGGGGAUCAAACA